rnacentral:rRNA from 1 species
AGAAUGAACGUUGGCGGCGUGGAUUAGGCAUGCAAGUCGAGCGAGAAGAGUUUGGUAGCUUGCUAUUGAACUCGGAAAGCGGCGAAAGGGAGAGUAACGCGUAGUUACGUGCCCCAGGGUUCGGAAUAGCCACGGGAAACUGUGGGUAAUGCCGAAUAACAUCUCCGGAUCAAAGGUGUGAUUCCGCCCUGGGAGCGGACUGCGUCCUACUAGCUAGUUGGCGGGGUAAUGGCCCACCAAGGCAACGAUGGGUAGCGGGUGUGAGCGCAUGACCCGUCUCACUGGGACUGAGACACUGCCCAGACACCUACGGGUGGCUGCAGUCGAGAAUCUUCGGCAAUGGGCGAAAGCCUGACCGAGCGACGCCGCGUGCGGGAUGAAGGCCCUCGGGUUGUAAACAUCUGUCGUAGGGGAGGAAAUUUUGACCGAUCCUAGGAGGAAGCACAGGCUAAAUUCGUGCCAGCAGCCGC